rnacentral:lncRNA from 1 species
UACAUCUAAAUGUCUUUUAAAGACCUCCAGGGAUGGUGACUCUACCACUUCCCUGGGCAGCCCAUUCCAAUUCCUAACAACCCUUUUGGUAAAGAAGUUCUUCCUAAUAUCCAACCUAAACCUCCCCUGGUGCAACUUUCAACUAUUCCCCCUCAUCCUGUCACCAGGCACGUGGGAGAAUAGACCAACCCCACCUCGCUACAGCCUCCUUUAAAGUACCUGUAGAGUGUGAUAAGGUCACCCCUGAGCAUCCUUUUCUCCAGGCUGAACAAUCCGAGCUCCCUCAGCUGCUCCUUGUAGAUCUUGAUCUCUCAUUACACCAGUGAAAAUAAAUUUGGACUGAGAAAGAAUGGUCAGUUGACGAAUAUUUUGUUAGAGUAGAGAAUAUGACAAAAGAGAGUAAAGUUCUAUACUGACACAUGCCAUGAAGGACUCAUAAGAUUGUUCAAAAAUGCUAGAAUUUUCAACAGAAGCAGCAUGCCAUUUGGAAAAAUCUACAAGAAUGUUCACUUCAUCAGAAGGCUAUCAGGGUAGCUCCAGGAAAUUUAUGUGGAUUGGAUUCUGCAGCAUUUCAUAAGGCCACGUGGAAGACUAACAGAGUGCACGUGCUUGCUGGUGCUCUCUUCCUUCCUCCCCUGCUCUCAGCAUGGUUCUGCUUCCAGGGGUGAAUACCUUAUGCUCUUUUGUGCAGGGAGAAGACUUCAUUCCCCUCAGCUGCACCUUGGCUACAAAAUAAGCCUGUUGAAAUGGCAAAUGUGGUAGGGGAAUGCUGGUGAAGCAACUGAUACUUGUGGACCCAGGUUGUACUCAGGUUGUUUUGGAGAGCACUGCAGGUUGUCUCAGAGGUGCGAUGCGGUGCGAUGUCCUUUGGUGCAUUCAGGACAUUACCACAGUUGUUGAGUCCUUACCAGGCACGUUCAAAGCUACUCUGGACAUGGAGGAAAUAGGAUGCUCCUCCAGUAGCCAUUUUAAUGUGGUGGAAAAGGAAAGAAAAGAGCUGCAUUCAGCUUUGCAUCCAGAAACUCUCCUUAAAAAGUAUACAAAUAAAGCGAAACCCUUCAUAUGUGAAAACAACUUGGGAUUCCUUCUGACCAAAUCAGCAUACUGCACUGGUGCAAAGGCUACUUUGGACUAGCUGGUGUUUGGAUUGCAUUGUCCUGGCAUGAACCUUCCUCAUGCUUUUCUCCCAGCUUGUCCUGCUCCCCGGUUGUUUAAUGUGGGUAUGAGAAGUCUCCUUUCGCUGUCAAGAGUAAGCAGCUCUGGGGUGGGCUGUGCCAGCCAUUGUCCCACUAAAUAAAAUCCUUUCCAGGGGGAUGACA